UACGUAGGGGGCAAGCGUUGUCCGGAAUCAUUGGGCGUAAAGAGCGUGUAGGCGGUUCGGGAAGUCGGCUGUGAAAGUCCAGGGCUCAACCCUGGGAUGCCGGUCGAUACUGCCGGACUAGAGUUCGGAAGAGGCGAGUGGAAUUCCCGGUGUAGCGGUGAAAUGCGCAGAUAUCGGGAGGAACACCUAUGGCGAAGGCAGCUCGCUGGGACGUUACUGACGCUGAGACGCGAAAGCGUGGGGAGCAAACAGG
rnacentral:rRNA from 1 species